CUAAAUCUGAUGACGGGAACGAGUACUCUGCCCUUGGUAUUUACAGAGAGCCGGCACUUGGUGCAAGCCGGUAAUACAAGACAGACGAAAAUCCUCCCUGAAGAGUGAUGCUGAAUGUAUUAAGCAUCAACGGUAUUUCCACGUUACUGGAAACGCGUAUGUUGGUACGUUGUGAGGAGCUUCACCGUAGUGAAGAAUUUGGGUGGUAACGCGGAUAUACAAUCCGUCCCUUAU
rnacentral:ncRNA from 1 species